rnacentral:tRNA from 1 species
GAGGCGCUAGCUCAGUUGGUAGAGCAACGGCCUUUUAAGCCGUGGGUCCUGGGUUCGACCCCCAGGCGCCUCACCA